GGAUGACCUAGGAUGAACAUUAGUUUAGUUGGAGCUAAUAAUGUAUUCUGAAACUCGUCUCCUUCACUGCUGGAUAACAUUUGAAUCAGUGCCAAAAAAAAGCUAAAGUCUAUGAUUAUUGAGAACACACUAAACAAAUGCAGUUGGAGUCUUUAUUCACACCUCAGUCUUAUUACUUAUUAGCAUCAAAAGAGUCUUUCUACUUGUGGUUUCUGUUCUUUUCCCCUCUUUAGUCUUUUGCCAUUGAACUGCUUCUUCUAGUAAAGUUGAAGUGUUGCGCUUCCAAGAACCCUCCAUUAAGUUUCUACUAGACUGGGCAUAUUUCCUGCAAACUUAUUCCCAAGCAUUCAAUAAUAUCACCAGUGAGUGUAGACCUUUUCUUAUUGUCAAAUGCCAUUGAUGCUGCCUUUCUCAGUAAAGCAGAUCCAGCAACACAUCCUAGCAUGGUUGGGUUCAUGCUUACCUCCCCUUUAGCAGCACACUGACAGGCCCAGGAUAGGAACACUGCAACACUCCCUGAAAGUAUGUCACCCUGUCCACCACAGCGCCGUGGAGAACCAUAAAUACUCACUGCACAAGCUGUUUUACCAUCGCUGACAAAGUCCGAUUUCCCUUUCCGCAAGAUUGUAACACCACCGAUCCCUUUUGCAAGAGAUAGCAACUGAUCGGUUCCAUUUUCGUCAUUUACCUCAGAAUUUAGUACUUUCUGAACAAGCCGUUUAUACUCAUUCACAUUUGGUGUCAGCACUGCUAAGGGAUAACCACUAACCAGAUCAAGACAAUUAGUCACCAGAUAAAGCCCAUCCCCAUCUAUAACCAUUGGGACAUUGCGCUCUCUUGC
rnacentral:misc_RNA from 1 species